GACGAACGCUGGCGGCGUGCUUAACACAUGCAAGUGGAGCGACGAACCGGGGCUUGCCCCGGGGCAGAGCCGCGAACGGGUGAGUAACACGUGGGUAACCCACCCCGAUGAUUGGGACAACCCGAGGAAACUCGGGCUAAUACCAAAUGUGCCCUUGGUCCAUGAGGACCUCGAGUAAAGAUAGCUUCGGCCUUCGCAUCGGGACGGGCCCGCGGCCCAUUAGCUUGUUGGUGAGGUAACGGCUCACCAAGGCGACGAUGGGGUAGCUGGUCUGAGAGGACGAUCAGCCACACUGGGACUGAGACACGGCCCAGACUCCUACGGGAGGCAGCAGGUGGGGAAUCUUGCGCAAUGCGCGAAAGCGUGACGCAGCAACGCCG
rnacentral:rRNA from 1 species